rnacentral:rRNA from 1 species
GACGAACGCUGGCGGCGUGCCUAAUACAUGCAAGUAGGACGCAGUUGCGCACGGGUGAGUAACGCGUAGGUAACCGCCCAUUACAGGGGGAUAACUCAUGGAAACGAUAGCUCAUACCGCAUACUCGUAGAUGGACCUGCGGUGUAUUAGCUAGUAGGUUGGGUAAGGGCCUACCUAGGCAAAGGUACAUAGCCGACCCUGGGGGGGGGACGGCCAAACUGGGACUGGGGCACGGCCCAGACUCCUACGGGAAGCAGCAGUAGGGAAUUUUCGGCAAAGGGGGGAACCCUGACCGAGGAACGCCGCGUGAGUGAAGAAAGUUUUCGGAUCGUAAAGCUCUGUUGUUAAGGAAGCGGUACUUAACCAGAAAGGGACGGCUAACUACGUGCCAGCAGCCGCGGUAAUAC